GACUAUUCUCCAUGAGAAUACAAACUUCAUUAUGGUUUCUUCUAUCUUCAGAAACCUCACUGUCAUAUUUAUUGUGAUGUCUCUUACAAGUCAAGCCCUUUGGGGCUAUAUAUAAGUGUUUUACAAUCAUCACAUAUAUCACACAAACACACAUAACACAUUAAGUGAAGUGAGUCAUAUUAAGUUUUUAUAUUCAUCACUACUUAAGAAGCCAUGGAGAAGAAAUCACUAGCUUGCUUGUCCUUCCUCCUCCUCGUUCUCUUUGUUGCACAAGAAAUAGUGGUGAGUGAAGCAAACACAUGUGAGAAUUUGGCUGGUUCAUAUAAGGGAGUAUGCUUCGGUGGAUGUGACCGUCACUGUAGAACACAAGAGGGCGCAAUUAGCGGCAGAUGCAGGGAUGACUUUCGCUGUUGGUGCACUAAAAACUGUUAAAUCCCUUUUCUCCAACACCAACAACACCCAUAUAGAAUACUAUAAUAUAAAUAAAUAAACAAGUCUUGUUUCUGAA